rnacentral:rRNA from 1 species
AAUGACAUCUCCUUAAUCGGAGAGUUCCCUUCGGGGACAUUGGUGACAGGUGGUGCAUGGUUGUCGUCAGCUCGUGUCGUGAGAUGUUGGGUUAAGUCCCGCAACGAGCGCAACCCUUAUUGUUAGUUGCCAUCAUUUAGUUGGGCACUCUAGCGAGACUGCCAGGGAUAAACCGGAGGAAGGUGGGGAUGACGUCAAAUCAUCAUGCCCCUUAUGCUGGGCUACACACGUGCUACAAUGGGAAGUACAGAGGGUUGCCAAGCCGUAAGGUGGAGCUAAUCCCUUAAAGCUACUCUCAGUUCGGAUUGUAGGCUGAAACUCGCCUACAUGAAGCUGGAGUUACUAGUAAUCGCAGAUCAGAAUGCUGCGGUGAAUGCG